CGAAGAUUUGAAUGAAGUUCCAGGAGGAUUCAUUAGCGAUUGUAAUUCGAAUUCUCUACUUAUUUUGAAAAGCUAUUCAGACAUGUCUCUCAAAGAAGCAAGUCCUUUUGAUAAAUUCCAAUUUGAGAGAAAUGGUUUUUUCUCUGUGGAUCCUGAUACAAACAAUGAUAAGCUCGUUUUCAACAGAACAGUUGGUCUCAAGGAGGAUGCUGGAAAAUAGAAAUCAAUAAAAUAUUUAUUUUAAAAUCA